rnacentral:rRNA from 1 species
CCUACGGGUGGCAGCAGUCGAGAAUCAUUCACAAUGGCGGAAACCCUGAUGGUGCGACGCCGCGUGGGGGAAUGAAGGUCUUCGGAUUGUAAACCCCUGUCAUGUGGGAGCAAAUGAAAAAGAGAGUACCACAAGAGGAAGAGACGGCUAACUCUGUUCCAGCAGCCGCGGUAAUACAGAGGUCUCAAGCGUUGUUCGGAAUCACUUGGCGUAAAGCGUGCGUAGGCUGUUUCGUAAGUCGUGUGUGAAAGGCGCGGGCUCAACCCGCGGACGGCACAUGAUACUGCGAGACUAGAGUAAGGGAGGGGGAACCGGAAUUCGCGGUGUAGCAGUGAAAUGCGUAGAUAUCGAGAGGAACACUCGUGGCGAAGGCGGGUUCCUGGACAUUAACUGACGCUGAGGCACGAAGGCCAGGGGAGCGAAAGGGAUUAGAUACCCUAGUAGUC